UACGUAGGUGGCAAGCGUUAUCCGGAAUUAUUGGGCGUAAAGCGCGCGCAGGCGGUCCUUUAAGUCUGAUGUGAAAGCCCACGGCUCAACCGUGGAGGGUCAUUGGAAACUGGGGGACUUGAGUGCAGAAGAGGAGAGCGGAAUUCCACGUGUAGCGGUGAAAUGCGUAGAUAUCUGGAGGAACACCGGUGGCGAAGGCGGCAUCCUGGACCGACACUGACGCUGAGGAGCGAAAGCCAGGGGAGCAAACGGG
rnacentral:rRNA from 1 species